rnacentral:rRNA from 1 species
UCAGUGGCGAACGGGUGAGUAACACGUGAGCAACCUGCCCCUGACUCUGGGAUAAGCGCUGGAAACGGCGUCUAAUACUGGAUAUGUGACGUGAUCGCAUGGUCUGCGUCUGGAAAGAAUUUCGGUUGGGGAUGGGCUCGCGGCCUAUCAGCUUGUUGGUGAGGUAAUGGCUCACCAAGGCGUCGACGGGUAGCCGGCCUGAGAGGGUGACCGGCCACACUGGGACUGAGACACGGCCCAGACUCCUACGGGAGGCAGCAGUGGGGAAUAUUGCACAAUGGGCGCAAGCCUGAUGCAGCAACGCCGCGUGAGGGAUGACGGCCUUCGGGUUGUAAACCUCUUUUAGCAGGGAAGAAGCGAAAGUGACGGUACCUGCAGAAAAAGCGCCGGCUAACUACGUGCCAGCAGCCGCGGUAAUACGUAGGGCGCAAGCGUUAUCCGGAAUUAUUGGGCGUAAAGAGCUCGUAGGCGGUUUGUCGCGUCUGCUGUGAAAUCCGGAGGCUCAACCUCCGGCCUGCAGUGGGUACGGGCAGACUAGAGUGCGGUAGGGGAGAUUGGAAUUCCUGGUGUAGCGGUGGAAUGCGCAGAUAUCAGGAGGAACACCGAUGGCGAAGGCAGAUCUCUGGGCCGUAACUGACGCUGAGGAGCGAAAGGGUGGGGAGCAAACAGGCUUAGAUACCCUGGUAGUCCACCCCGUAAACGUUGGGAACUAGUUGUGGGGUCCAUUCCACGGAUUCCGUGACGCAGCUAACGCAUUAAGUUCCCCGCCUGGGGAGUACGGCCGCAAGGCUAAAACUCAAAGGAAUUGACGGGGACCCGCACAAGCGGCGGAGCAUGCGGAUUAAUUCGAUGCAACGCGAAGAACCUUACCAAGGCUUGACAUAUACGAGAACGGGCCAGAAAUGGUCAACUCUUUGGACACUCGUAA